AAUGUAUGAUCAGAAGUGGCAUGUGAGCCGGCGCAUCAGAUGCUUUCCUGUUCCGUGAUGUGAAAGCCCCGAGACGAAAAGGAACAAAAAAUAAAAACAGACAAGCAAGAAAAGAGCCUGGAAAUAUUCACUGGACCAAGGUUGUAUAGACCUACCAGCAAAGAGAAAGAAGAUGUUUACCCCUUAUGGCUCUUCUGAGGUGUUUUCAAAAAGCAGCCAGGAAGGGAUGUUCUUGUGUACCACACAUCGCUAGGAUACUGACAGCAUUUUCCUGACAGGUUUCAGAAGCAGGAUCCAGAGCCACAUGUUCAGCACUCGUACGGAAAGUGGAGCAUAUCCAAUCCCACUGUGCUCGGGAGCCAUGGGCAGAAUUCUGGCUGCCUGUACAAGCAGAACAGUGAAUGCUGUGACCAGAAAUCAACUGGAGGGCAAGAAGCAGCACCUGCCACCUUCCACUGCUGCACACAUUUAAGUUUCAUGAAGAUACUAAGUCCUGUUGAUAUAGGUGGCCAGAGAGAGAAGCAAAGAUGUGUGUGAAGUUACAGGGCCAGAAAACAGGCAACAGCACUUCAUAAUAGGCAGCUGGGAACAGCAGGAACUGCUCACACCUCAAAUGGCACCAUGGACUGGCUGGCAGAGUGACACAAAUCAGAACCACAUGCAGACCCUUUUCCCUCCUGCCCACCCUAGCGAA